rnacentral:tRNA from 1 species
GCCUGCCUGGCUCAGUGGGUAGAGCAUCAGACUCUUGAUCUUGGGGUUUUGUGUUUGAGCCUCAUGUUGGGCA